rnacentral:rRNA from 1 species
CGGGCAGGUGGCCUUUUAAGUCCUUUGUGAAAUUCCGGAGCUCAACUCCGGAUGUGCAUAGGAUACUGGGAGGCUAGAGACUGGUAGAGGCGAGCGGAAUUCCUGGUGUAGCGGUGGAAUGCGUAGAUAUCAGGAAGAACACCGGUGGCGAAGGCGGCUCGCUGGGCCAGUUCUGACACUCAUCCGCGAAAGCGUGGGAGCAAACA